CAACAGGGAUUGCCCCAGUAACGGCGAGUGAAGCGGCAACAGCUCAAAUUUGAAAUCUGGCCCCCCGGCCCGAGUUGUAAUUUGGAGAGGAUGCUUUUGGCGCGGCGCCGUCCGAGUUCCUUGGAACAGGACGCCACAGAGGGUGAGAGCCCCGUACGGACGGACGCCUAGCCUCUACAAAGCUCCUUCGACGAGUCGAGUAGUUUGGGAAUGCUGCUCAAAAUGGGAGGUAAAUUUCUUCUAAAGCUAAAUACCGGCCAGAGACCGAUAGCGCACAAGUAGAGUGAUCGAAAGAUGAAAAGCACUUUGAAAAGAGGGUUAAAAAGUACGUGAAAUUGUUGAAAGGGAAGCGCCUGUGACCCAGACUUGCGCCCCGUGGACCACCCGGCGUUCUCGCCGGUGCACUCCGCGGGGCGCAGGCCAGCAUCGGUUUUCCUAGGGGGACAAAGGCCGCGGGAACGUAGCUCCUUCGGGAGUGUUAUAGCCCGCGGCGGCAUGCCCCUGGGGGGACCGAGGACCGCGCUCGGCAAGGAUGCUGCG
rnacentral:rRNA from 1 species